rnacentral:rRNA from 1 species
CCUACGGGUGGCAGCAGUGAGGAAUAUUGGUCAAUGGACGAGAGUCUGAACCAGCCAAGUAGCGUGAAGGAUGACUGCCCUAUGGGUUGUAAACUUCUUUUAUAUGGGAAUAAAACGUUCCACGUGUGGGAUUUUGUAUGUACCAUAUGAAUAAGGAUCGGCUAACUCCGUGCCAGCAGCCGCGGUAAUACGGAGGAUCCGAGCGUUAUCCGGAUUUAUUGGGUUUAAAGGGAGCGUAGGUGGAUUGUUAAGUCAGUUGUGAAAGUUUGCGGCUCAACCGUAAAAUUGCAGUUGAAACUGGCAGUCUUGAGUACAGUAGAGGUGGGCGGAAUUCGUGGUGUAGCGGUGAAAUGCUUAGAUAUCACGAAGAACUCCGAUUGCGAAGGCAGUUCACUGGACUGCAACUGACACUGAGGCUCGAAGGUGUGGGUAUCAAACAGGAUUAGAUACCCUAGUAGUC